GACAACUUGGCCGAGUGGUUAAGGCGACGCCCUGCUAAUUGUACGAAGGUUGCUCGAUCUUCAGAAGAUAGGCGUUGUCCUUUGGACGCGCAGGUUCGAAUCCUGCAGUUGUCG
rnacentral:tRNA from 1 species